AUUGAACGCUGGCGGCAGGCCUAACACAUGCAAGUCGAACGAGUGGCGGACGGGUGAGUAAUGUCUGGGAAACUGCCUGAUGGAGGGGGAUAACUACUGGAAACGGUAGCUAAUACCGCAUACCAUCGGAUGUGCCCAGAUGGGAUUAGCUCGUAGGUGGGGUAACGGCUCACCUAGGCGACGAUCCCUAGCUGGUCUGAGAGGAUGACCAGCCACACUGGAACUGAGACACGGUCCAGACUGCGACGGGAGGCAGCAGUGGGUAAUAUCGCGCAAUGGGCGCAAGCCGGAGGCAGCCAUGCCGCGUGGAUGAAGACGGCCUUCGGGUUGUAAAGUACUUUCAGCGGGGAGGCGUUACCCGAAGAAGAGGCACCGGGUAACUCCGUGCAAGCAGCCGCGGUAAUAC
rnacentral:rRNA from 1 species